rnacentral:rRNA from 1 species
UACGAAGGGGGCUAGCGUUGCUCGGAAUCACUGGGCGUAAAGCGCACGUAGGCGGCUUUCUAAGUCAGGGGUGAAAUCCUGGAGCUCAACUCCAGAACUGCCUUUGAUACUGGAGAGCUUGAGUCCGGAAGAGGUGAGUGGAACUCCGAGUGUAGAGGUGAAAUUCGUAGAUAUUCGGAAGAACACCAGUGGCGAAGGCGGCUCACUGGUCCGGUACCGACGCUGAUGUGCGAAAGCGUGGGGAGCAAACAGG